AUCCUUUUGCAGUGGCAGUAUUGUAGUCUAUGAGGUUUAUCUGAGGUGUGAUUAUUGCUAGUUGAAAACUUUACCCAAUUCCUGCCUUGAUGACUUGAAAAAUAGUCAGCAGUGGCAAUUUUUGGUAGUCUCUAAUGAGA
ensembl:snRNA U4 U4 spliceosomal RNA